rnacentral:lncRNA from 1 species
UCUGGAGCAGGGAUGGAAGAGCAAUGUUCCAACGCUGCAUCUGGAGACUGGCUCCAGCCUCGCUGCACACCUGCAUCAGGCCUCAGGGAUCCCUGUGCCCAGCCUCUGCCCUAAAGAAGCCAGUUUGAAGGUCCAUUGGAAAAGCAGGGAUGACUGCUCACCAUUCAUUCCGAACUCAGGUUUUUUCCAUGUCCCCGGGCUGUGCAGUCCUCCAGAGCAGGCAGGUAGGAGAUGAGCAAGGUGGCUGGGAGCUGCUGAGUACCCCUGAGCUUUGGUGAGUGGAGACCACAGACAGGAGGACCUGACAGCUGGAGAGGUGCCCUGCAGAUACUCCACUAGGAAUCCAGACCUUCAUUCUGGCAGGGAGGGCAAUGCCAGAUCUGACACCUCUCUCUACCCUUUCUUAGAACCACAAAAUGAUAGAGAAGUGAGGACUCAAAGAGAUGGCUAAUCCGGGAUCACACACUCAGGACCAGACAGCCUCCACAGGCUCUCAGCAGAAAGAACCCAGUCUCAGAGGGAAGGCUGAAAUGUUCUCUGGCAGUGAGCAGUCCCUGGGCCCAGCUUCCUCCAGAGAGAGACUUUGAUCCAGUACAAGUCACACUACCGACCGGCAUGGCACACCCUUUCUCAAAGGCGUAAGAAUUCUGGUGACUUUGUGAUUCCCAAGUGAUGGGGAAGGACACUCCGUUGGUUAAUGGCAUCUGAUGGUGAGAGAGUCCCUUGUGGCCAGGCUGGAUCUGUUUAUUCUCCCAGUUUUCUAGAGCUUCCCAGAGAGACCCCAGAGCAGGGAAGCAAAAGCCAUUGCCAUUUUAGCCCGUGGCAAUAGAGGACAGUUGGAAACAUCACUUUAGGGUGGAAGGGUCUUCCAGAGGCCCCUUGAAUCAGCAACAAGGGGCAUUAGAGUCUGCUUCCGUCCUCACAAGAGGUUGAUCUGCCUGUAAAGGCAAGUCCUUCUAUUGCCAGUAAUAAGAAUGUGCGGAUGACUACAGCUGACAUUUAUUGAGCACUUACUGUGUGCAGUGUUCUAGGCACUGUCCAUGUGUUAACUCAUUUCACUCUUAUGAGUGGCUGCUGUGUUUGUCCCCAUUCUAUUGCUGAGAAAGCUCAGGCAACAGGAAGUUAAGUCCCUUGGUCUGACAACCAAGAGUGGUCAAGCAAAGACUCAAUCUGGUCUGCCUGACCCUAGAGUCCACGUCUUCCAGCUUUUGGACAGCUCCAGCCUUUACAAAAUCCUUGAGUAACUUGAAUUAAAAUUUCUUCCUAGAACGUGUGCCCCUCGGUCCUGGUUCUGCAUUUAGGGUUCUCUCUGCAGAACUCAACCCCCUCCAGUGAGACAGCCGUGUCCAGGGAUGUGUUCAGCUCCCAGUGCCCCCACCCAGCUCCUCUGCUCCAGACUGCAAAUGCCAUUAAUAUUUAGCAUUAGAAGGAUCUGGUGAAGCCCAUAAAUCUGCAUAUGUUAAAAAAAAAAAAAAAAAAAAACACCACAGGGAAUUCCUAAGUGGAGAGGGUGGGAGUAGGGGAUGGGGGAGGUGGCCCUUAAUUCUGCCUUGAGAAACCCCGCCUGAGGCCUCAGCACCUCCUUGUCCAGCCACCCACAAGUGAGGGUCAACUCAAGUGCCUGAGUGUCCUCUCUGCACCCUGAGAGACCGCUAUUCCCAGCCAUGCCCUGACCCCAGCCUCCAGCUUAGCAGCCAAGGCCCCCCACCCAGGACCAUCACAUGCCGGUUAGAAAGUCCCAGGCUCUGAGUGCAGUCAGAUUUUUACAGCAAAACCACAUUCCCUCGGCCCCAGCUUCCUUCUUUCUGUUUCUCUGAAGUAAUAACUGGUCGCAGCCAGCGCCAGAGAAAAGCAGUCUCCCAAUAGCUGAAAACAUCUGAAACUGGUGAUCAGCAGCUUCCUGAUAAGAUCCCAGAGUUGGGCAAGUGGACUCAAGCAUGCGCGCUAAGAGGCAAAAUGGCAGCAUUUACUUGGUAUAUGACCUUCCAGGGACAUUUGACUGGUAAGGGAAGAACGCCUCAAGUAAGCACACGUACAACUUCAGUAAAUAUACUGUGCAUGGUCCCCUCCCAAGCGCUGGCAGGCUGCUGUGCAUGCAGACAGCCCACCCCAAUGGAAGAAUCAGGGGAGAAGAGAAGCCGGACCCCAGAAGUAUGCCCACAUAUAAGACCCCAAUUCAAAGGUCAAACAGGGCACUUGUCUUUCAAGUUGCCCACUUGGCCCUCUUCCAAAUAUGCUUGCCUUCAUUCUGUUCCCACUCUAAAACUUUUUAAUAAACGUUCAUUCCUG